rnacentral:rRNA from 1 species
CCGGUUGAUCCUGCCGGCGGUCACCGCUCUUGGAAUCCGAUUAAGCCAUGCGAGUCGAGAGGGUUCGGCCCUCGGCAGACCGCUCAGUAACACGUGGAUAACCUACCCUGGAGUGGGGGAUAAUCUCGGAAAACUGAGGAUAAUACCCCAUAGAUCUUCGAUACUGGAAUGUUCAUAGAUCAAAAGCUACGGCGCUCCAGGAUGGGUCUGCGGCCUAUCAGGUUGUAGUGAGUGUAAAGGACUCACUAGCCGACGACGGGUACGGGCCAUGGGAGUGGUAGCCCGGAGAUGGACUCUGAGACACGAGUCCAGGCCCCACGGGGCGCAGCAGGCGCGAAAACUUCACAAUGCGCGCAAGCGCAAUGAGGGGAUUCCAAGUGCAUGCACUAUGUGUAUGCUGUUUACUAGUCUAAAACGCUAGUAGAGUAAGGGCUGGGUAAGACUGGUGCCAGCCGCCGCGGUAAUACCAGCGGCCCUAGUGGUGAUCGUUAUUAUUGGGCCUAAAGCGUCCGUAGCCGGUCCGGUAAAUCUCUGGGUAAAUCGUUGGGCUUAACUCAGCGAACUCUGGGGAGACUGCCGGACUUGGGACUGGGAGAGGUUGGAGGUACUCCAGGGGUAGGGGUGAAAUCCUGUAAUCCUUGGGGGACCACCGGUGGCGAAGGCGUCCAACCAGAACGGGUCCG